rnacentral:rRNA from 1 species
UACGUAGGGAGCAAGCGUUUGUCCGGAAUCAUUGGGCGUAAAGCGCGCGUAGGCGGCCCCGUAAGUCCGCUGUGAAAGUCAAAGGCUCAACCUUUGAAAGCCGGUGGAUACUGUGGGGCUAGAGUCCGGAAGAGGCGAGUGGAAUUCCUGGUGUAGCGGUGGAAUGCGCAGAUAUCAGGAGGAACACCAACGGCGAAGGCAGCUCGCUGGGACGGUACUGACGCUGAGACGCGAAAGCGUGGGGAGCGAACAGG